rnacentral:rRNA from 1 species
AUACGUAGGGGGCGAGCGUUGUCCGGAAUGAUUGGGCGUAAAGGGCGCGUAGGCGGCCCGGUAAGUCUGGAGUGAAAGUCCUGUUUUUAAGAUGGGAAUUGCUUUGGAUACUGUCGGGCUUGAGUGCAGGAGAGGUAAGUGGAAUUCCCAGUGUAGCGGUGAAAUGCGUAGAGAUUGGGAGGAACACCAGUGGCAAAGGCGACUUACUGGACUGUAACUGACGCUGAGGCGAGAAAGUGUGGGGAGCAAACAGGAUUAGAUACCCUGGUAGUCCACACGGUAAACGAUGAAUGCUAGGUGUAGGGGGUAUCGACCCCUUCUGUGCCGCAGUCAACACAAUAAGCAUUCCGCCUGGGGAGUACGGCCGCAAGGUUGAAACUCAAAUGAAUUGACGGGG